rnacentral:lncRNA from 1 species
GGAGUUUCCGUUGUGAUUUUUGCCCUUUGCUGUAUUGGCGUUUUCCCCAAUAUAUGCAAUUUUCCCCGGCAGGGAGAUUCUGUGUGAAUCUUUUUCCCCAGUCCGAGUCUGGAUUUUCAUCUGAAGUAUCCUUCGUGGAUAGUUUGAGUCAGCUUGAGUCUUUCCAAUGGAUGUGUCUUCCUUUGGAACUCUUUUUCCC